rnacentral:rRNA from 1 species
UGCGUAGGCGGCUCUUUAAGUUUGGUGUGAAAUCUCCCGGCUCAACUGGGAGGGUGCGCCGGAUACUGAGGAGCUAGAGUGCGGGAGGGGAAAGUGGAAUUCCUGGUGUAGCGGUGAAAUGCGUAGAUAUCAGGAGGAACACCGGUGGUGUAAACGGCUUUCUGGACCGUAACUGACGCUGAGGCACGAAAGCGUGGGGAGCAAACAGGAUUAGAUACCCUGGUAGUCCACGCCCUAAACGAUGCACGUUUGGUGUGGGUGAUUCAGUUCAUCCGUGCCGGAGCUAACGCGUUAAACGUGCCGCCUGGGGAGUACAGUCGCAAGGCUGAA